AGCCUGUGAGUGUGGUGGAUUGCACGCGACCCUGCGAAGGUCGAGGGCCAGGUUCAACUCCUGGAUGGGCUAC
rnacentral:tRNA from 1 species